rnacentral:rRNA from 1 species
GACGAACCGUCCCUAACGUUGUUCGGAAUCACUGGGCUUAAAGGGCGCGUAGGCGGGCUGCCAAGUCCGGGGUGAAAUCUUUCGGCUUAACCGGAAAAUAGCCUUGGAUACUGGCGGUCUCGAGGGAGGUAGGGGCUGUUGGAACUUCCGGUGGAGCGGUGAAAUGCGUUGAUAUCGGAAGGAACGCCGGUGGCGAAAGCGAACGGCUGGACCUCUUCUGACGCUGAGGCGCGAAAGCCAGGGGAGCAAACGGGAUUAGAAACCCUAGUAGU